CAGUCGCCGCGGUAAUACGUAGGGUGCGAGCGUUAAUCGGAAUUACUGGGCGUAAAGCGUGCGCGGGCGGUUGUGUAAGACAGGUGUGAAAUCCCCGGGCUUAACCUGGGAACUGCGCUUGUGACUGCACAGCUAGAGUAUGGCAGAGGGGGGUGGAAUUCCACGUGUAGCAGUGAAAUGCGUAGAGAUGUGGAGGAACACCGAUGGCGAAGGCAGCCCCCUGGGCCAAUACUGACGCUCAUGCACGAAAGCGUGGGGAGCAAACAGGAUUAGAUACCCGCGUAGUCCCUGUCUCUUAUAC
rnacentral:rRNA from 1 species